rnacentral:rRNA from 1 species
UAAGGAAUAUUGGUCAAUGGACGAAAGUCUGAACCAGCCAUGCCGCGUGGAGGAUGAAGGUCCUCUGGAUUGUAAACUUCUUUUAUAGGGGACGAAAAAAGGGUUUUUUAACUCGUCUGACGGUACCUUAUGAAUAAGCACCGGCUAACUCCGUGCCAGCAGCCGCGGUAAUACGGAGGGUGCAAGCGUUAUCCGGAUUCACUGGGUUUAAAGGGUGCGUAGGCGGGCAGGUAAGUCAGAGGUGAAAUCUCCGGGCUCAACCCGGAAACUGCCUUUGAUACUAUCGGUCUUGAAUAUGGUGGAGGUAAGCGGAAUAUGUCAUGUAGCGGUGAAAUGCUUAGAGAUGACAUAGAACACCCAUUGCGAAGGCAGCUUACUACACCUAUAUUGACGCUGAGGCACGAAAGCGUGGGGAUCAAACAG